UUAGGGUUUAGGGUUUAGAGUUUAGAGUUUAGGGUUUAGGGUUUAGGGUUUAGAUUUUAGGGUUUAGGGUUUAGUGUUUAGGGUUUAGAGUUUAGGGUUUAGGAUUUAUGGUUUAGUGUUUAGGGUUUAGAGUUUAGGAUUUAGGGUUUAGAGUUGAGAAAUGAGAUUUUGGGGAUAAGAUUUCAAAUUUUGAAAAAUAAAAAAAUUAAAAUUUUCAAAGGAUAAACUUACAAAGGUGCUAUUUUGGUAAUUUUAGUUUUUGAGUGCUAUUUUUGUGAUAUAAACUUAGAAAGGUGCUAUUUUGGAGAUUUGCCCAUACAAAUAUACUGGUCGUAUAUAUUUGUAACUUUACUCAUGAUCUGAUACUGAUAUAAAUUACUCUAUCUGGGUGUGUUAAUACUAUUAGAAUGCAAUCUACCCCAUACAAAUGUAUGUGUUUUUGUUUUUUUAACAUGAGGGUAUCCAGAUCUAUUGAAUGACUCAGACUAAUAUUUAAUGUAACUCACAUAUAGUUUUUUUUCGGAUAUUCAAAUAGUAAAGUGUAACCUAUAUCCCCAUGGCCACACAAGUAGAUUUAGUGUUAUAUUAUAUUGCUUCACUAAUAUGAUAUACUAUAGAUUUUUUAUGAACAAAAAUCGUUCUGUCUCGUAUUGUAACUACAUUAGCUAAUAUAUUAGAUUCACCCAACUGACAUAUUGCAUGAUUGGUUUCCGAGACAAUUUGACCUAAAUUGCUGUAUUUAUGUUCAAAACGUAUAAAUGACUUUUCUCCUUACUGAUUUUGUUGUUGUUUUGUUAUAAUGCCUGUUACUAGUUUUGGCAAAAACCUAAGUCAAAUCAUUGUCGUAGAUUAACAAAGAAUGUUAUCGGGCAACACACGCAUUCGUGCAACCGAAGCAAUCAUCUAUGUUAUGCUUCACCAAAAAAAAAAAAAUAUAUAUAUAUAUAUAUAUAGAGCCACCCGUUUCUAUUUAUGGUAAACCAAUUAUAUAUUUAAAGAAAAACCUCUCAUUUUUCUCAGCCAUUUUUGCAUUUGCUACAAACAUGGAUCUCCUUCCAUGGCUCUUACGGUGACUAUUCUCAACUCUUUUUUUUCACACAAGACUCUCAUUUUUCACCUUUCCUACAUUGAUCUCUAGUCGUUACCAUUUCAAGUUUUCUUAUUUUGUAUUCAAAUAUACUGGUCGUAUAUAUUUGUAACUUUACUCAUGAUCUGAUACUGAUAUAAAUUACUCUAUCUGGGUGUGUUAAUACUAUUAGAAUGCAAUCUACCCCAUACAAAUGUAUGUGUUUUUGUUUUUUUAACAUGAGGGUAUCCAGAUCUAUUGAAUGACUCAGACUAAUAUUUAAUGUAACUCACAUAUAGUUUUUUUUCGGAUAUUCAAAUAGUAAAGUGUAACCUAUAUCCCCAUGGCCACACAAGUAGAUUUAGUGUUAUAUUAUAUUGCUUCACUAAUAUGA
rnacentral:lncRNA from 1 species